rnacentral:rRNA from 1 species
GAUCCUGGCUCAGAGCGAACGCUGGCGGCAAGCUUAACACAUGCAAGUCGAGCGAGAAACUAGACUUCGGUCUAGUGGAAAGCGGCGAACGGGUGAGUAACGCGUGGGAAUUUACCUAGGAGUGAGGAAUAACUGUUGGAAACGACAGCUAAUACCGCAUACGCCCUACGGGGGAAAGGCUUCGGCCGCUCUAUGAGAAGCCCGCGUCCGAUUAGUUUGUUGGUAGGGUAAUGGCCUACCAAGACUACGAUCGGUAGCUGGUCUGAGAGGACGAUCAGCCACACUGGGACUGAGACACGGCCCAGACUCCUACGGGAGGCAGCAGUGGGGAAUAUUGGACAAUGGGCGAAAGCCUGAUCCAGCUAUGCCGCGUGAGUGAAGAAGGCCUUAGGGUUGUAAAGCUCUUUCGGCAGGGAAGAUAAUGACGGUACCUGCAAAAGAAGCCCCGGCUAACUCCGUGCCAGCAGCCGCGGUAAUACGGAGGGGGCUAGCGUUGCUCGGAAUUACUGGGCGUAAAGCGAGCGUAGGCGGCCUGUCAAGUUGGGUGUGAAAGCCCGGGGCUCAACCCCGGAAUUGCACUCAAAACUAGCAAGCUAGAGACCGAGAGAGGUGAGUGGAAUUUCCAGUGUAGAGGUGAAAUUCGUAGAUAUUGGAAAGAACACCAGUGGCGAAAGCGGCUGUCUGGCUAGUUUCUGACGCUGAGGCGCGAAAGCGUGGGGAGCAAACAGGAUUAGAUACCCUGGUAGUCCACGCCGUAAACGAUGAUUGCUAGGCGUUGGGGGGAACGCCUCUCAGUGUCGUCGCUAACGCAUUAAGCAAUCCGCCUGGGGAGUACGGUCGCAAGAUUAAAACUCAAAUGUAUUGACGGGGACCCGCACAAGUAGUGGAGCAUGUGGUUUAAUUCGAAGAUACGCGCAGAACCUUACCAACACUUGACAUGUUCGUCGCGACUCUAAGAGAUUAGAGUUUUCGGUUCGGCCGGACGAAACACAGGUGCUGCAUGGCUGUCGUCAGCUCGUGUCGUGAGAUGUUGGGUUAAGUCCCGCAACGAGCGCAACCCUUACUUUUAGUUGCUACCAUUUAGUUGAGCACUCUAGAAGAACUGCCGGUGAUAAGCUGGAGGAAGGUGGGGAUGACGUCAAGUCCUCAUGGCCCUUAUGUGUUGGGCUACACACGUGCUACAAUGGUAUUUACAAUGGGAUGCAAAGAGGCAACUACAAGCCAACCCUUAAAGAAUACCUCAGUUCGGAUUGUACUCUGCAACUCGAGUACAUGAAGCUGGAAUUACUAGUAAUCGCGGAUCAGCGCGCCGCGGUGAAUACGUUCCCGGGUCUUGUACACACCGCCCGUCACACCAUGGAAGUUGGUUACACCUUAAGGCAAAGUGUAAAACCUUUGACUACGGUACGAUCGGCGACUGGGGUGAAGUCGUAACAAGGUAGCC